UACAGAGGUGGCAAGCGUUGUUCGGAAUUACUGGGCGUAAAGCGUGCGCAGGCGGUGAUGUAAGACAGUUGUGAAAUCCCCGGGCUCAACCUGGGAACUGCAUCUGUGACUGCAUCGCUGGAGUGCGGCAGAGGGGGAUGGAAUUCCGCGUGUAGCAGUGAAAUGCGUAGAUAUGCGGAGGAACACCGAUGGCGAAGGCAAUCCCCUGGGCCUGCACUGACGCUCAUGCACGAAAGCGUGGGGAGCAAACAGG
rnacentral:rRNA from 1 species